GAAAUAUGCAAAUGACGAUCUUGGAUCACGUACUAAGGCGAAUGCUCGCAGGUCUUUUAAAUUUAUAGGCAUCAUGUCUUACGAAGAAUCAUGAAUUAUUAUUGACUCGGCCUUGUUCUAGAGAUCCACAUAGAUAACCAGAGAUACUUCCCGACCCGGGUCAAUGAAAACAAACUAGAAUAAGAAAACUCAAUCAAGAUGAGCGAAGCCCGUAACUUGUUCACCACCUUUGGCAUCCUGGCCAUCCUGCUUUUCUUCCUUUACCUCAUCUAUGCCGUAUUGUAAAAUGUUUCCGGCAAGUAGAAGGUCCUUAGGGCAGGACAGAAGCCAGCAGCCAAAUCAAAGCAAUCAAAAUGAAUGAGGCCAAAAGUUUGUUCACCACCUUCCUCAUCCUGGCCUUCCUGCUGUUCCUGCUCUACGCCUUCUACGAAGCCGCCUUCUAGGCCCACAUCCCCAGUCACCCAUGAUCACCAGUACCACCACCCAUCAAGGAUAGCUUACAUGUUGAAUUUCAAUUCCAAGCCGCCGGCCAUGCCAUCAUCUUGUGGCCCGGUGGAGCUUCUAGGACCCUACGCGUUUAAGAUGUUUAGCAUUUAAUGGAUUUCUACUAGUAACCUAAGCCA